rnacentral:misc_RNA from 1 species
AAAGUCGUAACAAGGUCUCCGUUGGUGAACCAGCGGAGGGAUCAUUACCGAGUAUCUACUCAUAACCCUUUGUGAACCAUUAUUGUUGCUUCGGCGGCUCGCCUCCGGGUGAGCCCGCCGGUAUACCAGUCUCUUUAUUUGAACCCGACGAUACAUCUGAGUGUUCUUACGAACUAUUAAAACUUUUAACAACGGAUCUCUUGGCUCUA